rnacentral:rRNA from 1 species
AUUGAACGCUGGCGGCAGGCCUAACACAUGCAAGUCGAGCGGAAACGAGUUAUCUGAACCUUCGGGGAACGAUAACGGCGUCGAGCGGCGGACGGGUGAGUAAUGCCUAGGAAAUUGCCCUGAUGUGGGGGAUAACCAUUGGAAACGAUGGCUAAUACCGCAUGAUGCCUACGGGCCAAAGAGGGGGACCUUCGGGCCUCUCGCGUCAGGAUAUGCCUAGGUGGGAUUAGCUAGUUGGUGAGGUAAGGGCUCACCAAGGCGACGAUCCCUAGCUGGUCUGAGAGGAUGAUCAGCCACACUGGAACUGAGACACGGUCCAGACUCCUACGGGAGGCAGCAGUGGGGAAUAUUGCACAAUGGGCGCAAGCCUGAUGCAGCCAUGCCGCGUGUGUGAAGAAGGCCUUCGGGUUGUAAAGCACUUUCAGUCGUGAGGAAGGUAGUGUAGUUAAUAGCUGCAUUAUUUGACGUUAGCGACAGAAGAAGCACCGGCUAACUCCGUGCCAGCAGCCGCGGUAAUACGGAGGGUGCGAGCGUUAAUCGGAAUUACUGGGCGUAAAGCGCAUGCAGGUGGUUUGUUAAGUCAGAUGUGAAAGCCCGGGGCUCAACCUCGGAAUAGCAUUUGAAACUGGCAGACUAGAGUACUGUAGAGGGGGGUAGAAUUUCAGGUGUAGCGGUGAAAUGCGUAGAGAUCUGAAGGAAUACCGGUGGCGAAGGCGGCCCCCUGGACAGAUACUGACACUCAGAUGCGAAAGCGUGGGGAGCAAACAGGAUUAGAUACCCUGGUAGUCCACGCCGUAAACGAUGUCUACUUGGAGGUUGUGGCCUUGAGCCGUGGCUUUCGGAGCUAACGCGUUAAGUAGACCGCCUGGGGAGUACGGUCGCAAGAUUAAAACUCAAAUGAAUUGACGGGGGCCCGCACAAGCGGUGGAGCAUGUGGUUUAAUUCGAUGCAACGCGAAGAACCUUACCUACUCUUGACAUCCAGAGAACUUUCCAGAGAUGGAUUGGUGCCUUCGGGAACUCUGAGACAGGUGCUGCAUGGCUGUCGUCAGCUCGUGUUGUGAAAUGUUGGGUUAAGUCCCGCAACGAGCGCAACCCUUAUCCUUGUUUGCCAGCGAGUAAUGUCGGGAACUCCAGGGAGACUGCCGGUGAUAAACCGGAGGAAGGUGGGGACGACGUCAAGUCAUCAUGGCCCUUACGAGUAGGGCUACACACGUGCUACAAUGGCGCAUACAGAGGGCAGCCAACUUGCGAAAGUGAGCGAAUCCCAAAAAGUGCGUCGUAGUCCGGAUUGGAGUCUGCAACUCGACUCCAUGAAGUCGGAAUCGCUAGUAAUCGUGGAUCAGAAUGCCACGGUGAAUACGUUCCCGGGCCUUGUACACACCGCCCGUCACACCAUGGGAGUGGGCUGCAAAAGAAGUAGGUAGUUUAACCUUCGGGGGGACGCUUACCACUUUGUGGUUCAUGACUGGGGUGA